GCGCCUGUAGCCCAAUGGAUAGGGCACUGGCCUCCGGAGCCAGGUGUGCAGGUUCGAUUCCCGCCAGGCGCACCA
rnacentral:tRNA from 1 species